AACGAACGCUGGCGGCAGGCUUAACACAUGCAAGUCGAACGCCCCGCAAGGGGAGUGGCAGACGGGUGAGUAACGCGUGGGAAUCUACCCAAUUCUACGGAACAACUGAGGGAAACUUCAGCUAAUACCGUAUACGCCCUACGGGGGACAGAUUUAUCGGAAUUGGAUGAGCCCGCGUUGGAUUAGCUAGUUGGUGGGGUAAUGGCCUACCAAGGCGACGAUCCAUAGCUGGUCUGAGAGGAUGAUCAGCCACACUGGGACUGAGACACGGCCCAGACUCCUGCGGGAGGCAGCAGUGGGGAAUAUUGGACAAUGGGCGAAAGCCUGAUCCAGCCAUGCCGCGUGAGUGAUGAAGGCCUUAGGGUUGUAAAGCUCUUUCAGUGGGGAAGAUAAUGACGGUACCCACAGAAGAAGCCCCGGCUAACUUCGUGCCAGCCGCCGCAGUAA
rnacentral:rRNA from 1 species